UUUCCGCAGUAGUCAUAUGCUUGUCUCAAAGAUUAAGCCAUGCAUGUCUAAGUACGUGCCGUAUUAAGGCGAAACCGCGAAUGGCUCAUUAAAUCAGUUAUGGUUCCUUGGAUCGUACUUUACUACUUGGAUAACUGUGGCAAUUCUAGAGCUAAUACAUGCAGCAGAGCUCCGACCUUCGGGGACGAGCGCUUUUAUUAGACCAAAACCAAUCGGGCCUCGUGUCCGUGAAACGUGGUGACUCUGUAUAACUUUGGGCUGAUCGCACGGGCUCGUCCCGGCGACGUAUCCUUCAAGUGUCUGCCUUAUCAACUGUCGAUGGUAGGUUAUGCGCCUACCAUGGUCGUAACGGGUGACGGGGAAUCAGGGUUCGAUUCCGGAGAGGGAGCCUGAGAAACGGCUACCACAUCCAAGGAAGGCAGCAGGCGCGCAAAUUACCCAAUCCCGGCACGGGGAGGUAGUGACGAAAAAUAACAAUACGGGACUCUUUUGAGACCCCGUAAUUGGAAUGAGUACACUCUAAAUCCUUUAACGAUUAUCAAUUGGAGGGCAAGCCUAGUGCCAGCAGCCGCGGUAAUUCUAGCUCCAAUAGCGUAUAUUAAAGUUGUUGCGGUUAAAAAGCUCGUAGUUGGAUCUCAGUUCCAGACGGGCGGUCCGCCUACCGGCGGUCACUGCCCGUUCUGAACAGGCCAGCCGGUUUCCCUUGAUGAUCUUCACCGGUUGUCUCGGGUGACCGGCAAGUUUACUUUGAAAAAAUUAGAGUGCUCAAAGCAGGCGCGACGCCUGAACAAUGGUGCAUGGAAUAAUGGAAUAGGACCUCGGUUCUAUUUUGUUGGUUUUCGGGACACGAGGUAAUGAUUAAGAGGGACAGACGGGGGCAUUCGUAUUGCGACGCUAGAGGUGAAAUUCUUGGACCGUCGCAAGACGA
rnacentral:rRNA from 1 species